GCUCAGGAUGAACGCUGGCGGCGUGCCUAAUACAUGCAAGUCGAGCGAACUGAUUAGAAGCUUGCUUCUAUGACGUUAGCGGCGGACGGGUGAGUAACACGUGGGCAACCUGCCUGUAAGACUGGGAUAACUUCGGGAAACCGAAGCUAAUACCGGAUAGGAUCUUCUCCUUCAUGGGAGAUGAUUGAAAGAUGGUUUCGGCUAUCACUUACAGAUGGGCCCGCGGUGCAUUAGCUAGUUGGUGAGGUAACGGCUCACCAAGGCAACGAUGCAUAGCCGACCUGAGAGGGUGAUCGGCCACACUGGGACUGAGACACGGCCCAGACUCCUACGGGAGGCAGCAGUAGGGAAUCUUCCGCAAUGGACGAAAGUCUGACGGAGCAACGCCGCGUGAGUGAUGAAGGCUUUCGGGUCGUAAAACUCUGUUGUUAGGGAAGAACAAGUACGAGAGUAACUGCUCGUACCUUGAC
rnacentral:rRNA from 2 species